CUAUGAUUUUCUAGAUGAAAAAGUUCUGCCAUAGAGAGUGAAUCCUAAGAAAGACAAAUUAUACACCAAACACAAAGUCCCACAGCCUUCAGCUUCUGAAUUUCCCCCAAAGAUCUCCCCACGUCAAGACUGGCUGCACCAGGGAUGGGAACUAGCAACUCUGCAGGCCCCACACCUUAACCAGGUGUGCAAACAGGCCACUGGCACGAGGCAAAGGCAGAAGCUUUCUUAGGCCACACUUGGAGAGAGAACGCUGCACCCUCGGGGGCCGGGCGGGGCUGACGGUCACAGCCGCACCUGCACCUGCGGAGGAAAACAGCUGCUGGCCCGUCAGUUUAGACGCGGCGUUCACAGCUGCAGCGGGUUCCCUCGGCCCGCGGCUUUCAGGCGCCACGUGGACCCCGUGAGAGCCCCGUGCGCACUUGGGCCCCUCCCCGAGCCGCCCCCACACAGGAGCCUGUGGCCAACGUCCCGGGGAGCGUUUUCACCCCGCGGCCUGGGACUGGGGGAGGCCGGAGAGGUCUCCGGAGCCACGCGCCAGGCUGCGGCCUCCCGGGUCCCCUGCGGGCUGCGCUGCACCACGCCCUCCCCGCUGUUUUCCUCCGGCCCGCGGGGCUGGCGGCUGCGCUGCUGCAGGCACCGGGGCCCAUGGGGGCUGCGCGGGUCUCCAAGGAGGAAAGGCCCGGGGGCUCCUUCAGAGUUUCCCCAGAUAACAUCCAAGGAUGGAGAAGGAGACGGAAAGCAGAGAGAGCUUGAAGAGUCAAGAAAAUUUCUUUUAUGCUGUCUACAGCUUUCAACAAUUGAACAGGGUAUACUCCUGUGAACAAAAUUUGCAGCAUAUUUCUUUUUCGCCUGGUUCCUCUAGAAUUUGGAAACUAUUUGGGAUCAAGCCUGAAUUGCAGAGUCAAUAAAAACCCCUUGGGAAAAACAGCCUCAUAACUUGCCUACACAGUCCCUGAACAGGAUUCCUAACACAUGAGAUGGGAUCCUGUUUUGUCACCCAGGCUAGUGGCAUGAUCAGGGUUCAUUACGGCCUCAACCUCCCAGGCGCAAAUGAUCUUUUCACCUCAGCCUCCUGAGUAGCUGAAACUGCAGGUUUCGGAGGAUAUAGAAGACGAAGAAAUACGGCUAAACCACCUUGCCUGAAACCUAGAAGUGUUCCCACUGUAAGAUACUUCAUAACCAUAAACUCCAUGAAGUCAGAGACAACAUCUGCUUUGUCAAUGAAUGUCCAGGACCUAGCACAUAACCAGCCACAUGGAAGUGAGGAUGUGUUGAUGCAAGCACCCCUGUGACCACUAGAAGGACUGCUCUGGAUCAGAUCUGAACCAGUACACAACUUGCAUUGCCAAAGGCUCUUCCCUUCAUGGUGGCAGGAGUGCCAUGGCUUGAUGGCUCAUUGCAGCCUCAACCUCCCAUGCUCAACUGAUCAUCCCACCUCAGUCCCUGAAUAGCUGGAAAACAGGUAUCAACUGUUGACUCACCAGAGAAUUAUCAAUAUGACCUGUUGAGCAAGAAAAGCCAAAAUUAUACCCAACUGCAGUAACGAAGGCCAGUGUAUCUCAUGGUGCCUCGGAAGGGAGUAUUUACAUGGUUUUUGUCAUCUAACAGAAGCAUAAGAGAACAGGUUUUAGAUGGAGAUCUCUAGUGGACAUUUAUUGUCAAGUAAACAAUUGGCUUCAUGAGACUGAACUUGACUGAAGAGAUCCAAGUUGGAACAAGGACUCACCUGAAUAUAGAAGGGACAAAGUCUUGCUCUGUUGCCCAUGCUGGAGUGCAGUGGUGAAAACACGGCUCGGUGCAGCCUCCAUCUCCUCUCAAACAAUCGUCUCAUGUCAGUCAGCUGGAACCACAGAAACUCGGGAUAAAUCAUGGUAUCUACACAGAUACAAUGAUGAAUGAAAUAAACCAGUAUCACCAGCAGAAUAAGAAUCUGUUCUGUUGCUAUCUUCAGACACACCCUAGGCUGAGAUUGACUGAUGACCAUCCCUCCAAAAAGAAGAAAAAUUAAAAAGAAAAUCAAAACAAAAUACCAACAACAACUAAACAUUUCUAUUUUGUUCCAGUAAAAAAUGCAAGAAGAUCACAAUGUUAGUAUGUAUAUCUUAACAAGAAAAUGCAGACUUUCUUUUAGUGAUAUUGCAAGUCUCUUUUUCAUUGAGGAAAAAUGUUCAGCAGCCAAGACACACCAGUUGCCACCCCACUGAGUCUUCAUUGACUUUUCUUUGCUCCUUUGCAGGCUUUACAAGACUGAAACCAAGUUGUCACCUUUGUUAUUGCUACAGAAUUUCCUAGGUUUUUUUUCUCAUCCCCAGUUAGAUGACACACAAUUCCUCAUACUGCCCAUCUGACUUGAUUCUAAAAACUCAGGCCUUUCUCAUGAAUUGCGUCACAUUGAGGUGAGCAUGUGAGAGGCCGUGUAAAGGAUUUCAGCUUCAGGAAAAGGGAAGUAAGUGGUAAAGAAGUGAUUGUAAGUGUGCAGGAAGUCAGCAGGAGGUGAAGAAGAACAUAUGCAUCUAAAAGAUAGAAAAUAUAAUGUUACUAAAUUUGAUUGGCUGGGCACAGUGGCUCACACCUGUAACCUCAGCAUUUUGGGAGUUCAAGGUAGGAGGAUCGCUUGAACCCAGGUACUUGAGAACAGCCUGGGUAAUAUAGCAAGACUUUCUGGCUACAAGAUAUAAAAGAAAUUAGUCAGGCAUGGUGGUGCACACCUGUGGUCCACAAGGAGACUGAAGUGGGAAAGAUAGCUUGAGGCCAGGACAUUGAUCGGGGUUGCAGUGAGCAGAGACCAGGCCACUGCAUUCCAGCCUGGACAGUAGAGCAAGAUCAUGUCUCAAAGAAACAAGCGAAUAAAAAAACAUAUCAAAAUCUAUAUUGUAUUUUUGUGCUUCAAGAACGUUUUUCUAUAGUGUAUAAUAUACAAAAAUAUAUCAUCUAAAUAUAUACAUAUUUUACUUAUAAAAUAUGUAUCUCACAUUUAUAUAAAAUAUGUAUCUCAUUUAUAGAAUUAUAUAUAUAUAUGUGAUUAUAAAGAUGUAAAAAAAUUAGAAGAAUAUUUGCCAUGCCCCUUUUCAAAAGGCUAUUUAUACCUGCCAGAAUGUAAGAAAAAGAAGGGGACAACUAUUUGAAAGAAGCUCAUCAAUAAAUAAAUGAGAAUUACCAGCCUUGCCAGAACGUACUGGAGAACAUAUGCUGACUCUAUACCAUGUCUUAACAUAGAGCACGAUGGCACUCUGCUCCCACAUUGAAAAAUAUCUCUGAGUUGCAAAGGAAAAAUCUGCAGAGAUUUGGACAAACCAAUCACAGCUGUGCCAACAUACGGCAAGCUGAUUAAUGUGUGUGUCAUCAGUAAUAAUGAACCAUGAGAAAAUGUUAUGCACACAUUCUGUUUCUUUUUAAAAUGUAAGUUUUUCUUUCCAACUUUAUUUCUUAAUUUUUGGUCAAAAGAUGACUAAAAAGAUAAGAACCUUAAAUUGCAAAGAAUUCCAAUGAAGAAUACAAUUUAACGAUUAGGAUAUUCAAAUAAGCAUAUUCUGAAUCAUGACAUCGAUAGCCUCCUUCUUUAAUGGGCCUUUGCAUCCUGCAGGAAUGAUCUCUCGUGGAGGCCACAAGUAUUUGGUAUUUGUAAAAUAAGCUCCAGAAGUGUAUAGUGUUUCUAUUUUUUGAUGUCAAUAUGGGUAAUGCAUGAGAUGCCUUAAUUUUUUUUCUUGCAGUAGAGACUCAACUAUUUGGUAUUGAGACAGAUCAAUUCAACAGUAAAGGGGAAGGUGUGCCUAGAGGAAGUAAUGCAUGCAUUCUCAAGAGAGGAAGUACUGCUCCAGGGGAGCAUAACUGGGAUUUGGAAGAAAAAAAUGCCUUAGUUAUUAUAGACCACUGUGAUGACUAAGUUAUUACAUUGGUCUGUGGUCUUCCAAAGAACCACCAUAAGUAAACGUAUAUAUGGUAUAUCUGUGACUUUACAACUUCAUGGAAGUUGGGAAAGUGAUUAGGAGGGGAAAAAAAAGUUUAACAAGGCUCCUUAAUGGGUAAUAAUAUGAAAAAAUAAGGUUUAUUAACUCUGGGUUAAGGUAUCCUUAGUUCCAGAUGGGAGUUGUCAAUCCAUGUGACUAGAAACAGCUAACAGAACCUGAAUGAAGAACAAGAAUACAUGUGCACAGCUGCUAGAGCAGGUGAGUGUGUACCAGGUCUUUAUGUGGAAUUAAUGGUGUGGUAGAGAUUUAGAAAGUAAAGAUCAAGAAUCUCAUGAAAUGAGGGAGUACGGUUGCAACGCAAAACAUAGCACAUAGUUAAAUUUGUAUUUCGGAUCAACAAUAACUAAUUUUGGAAAUAUUUAUACUAAAACAUUUAUCUUAAAUUCAAAUUUAACUCUGCUUUUAUUUUAAAAGUCUCCUAACUCUUUUCUGCAAAAAUGCCGGUUUCCUAUAGGAAAAAGAUGAAAAUACAUCAAUGAUCCUAAAACCUUGUGUUCUGUCUGAAUGUUUCUGGUUUUUAAAACUGCUCUAUUUAAUCCUAAAGUUAAUAUAUAUAAGUUACUUUUCAAUCUUCAAAAAGUCUAACCUACAUCUACUUCAUUGUCCCCUCCCAAUCUUCUCUGAACCUCACCCUCACUGUUACUUUGAUCAAUCUCUCUGCUGCUAUAGAAACCACUUAGAAAUAAAAAUACAUGCAUACAUACAAACGUAUAUACAGCUACAUGCACUUAAACAUUUAUAGUCACAUCACAAGGAACUUUUAAUAAUCCCCUCUGUUAAGCAAGAGGACAGAGAGGCAUUCUAUUUACUCCUCAUCUACUGAAGCAUUGUUACAAAUUUGCAUUCAGUGGAAAGGUAGAUAGACAGGUAGAUAAAUAGCAGAAAGAAAAUAACAGCUGGGUCUUGUCUCUGAUCCACUGAUAGAUACAUAAUACAUUGUCAGUCAGCUGACAGUUUUCCUUUGCUUUAAUACCUCCUUGAGUUAUGAAUUUCUUAUCAAUAGAUCAUGUAUUUUUAUAGGCCUGGGUUGUUCUCAGACUUUGAAAACUGCUAUUUUCCCAUUUUCUCCUGAUAUAUUUCUCUACGUCAUUAUUGGUAAUAUUGAGUUAUAAUUAGCCCUUACUACUUACAGUCUGAGGAAUUACAUGACUGUUCAGAAUAAUAACAUUUAUAAAACAUGCAAUUUAAUGUGAAAAUAAAAUCACUGAGUGGGUGUUCAGUCUGAAUCAGACAUAUAGUUUGAAAUAGAUGUACUCAUGCAGCAGGAGGAAAUUAGUGCUGCUGAUAUUGGAAGCAAUGUGCGGUGUGCAGUCACACAAUCUAAACAAACUUCUAUAUUUUAGAAAGUAUAUAUACAAAUGUUUUGUAAGAAGGACCCCAUUAAAUGUCAGAGAUUCUUUGCUCAACCCACUAUAGUGAAGCUUCUUUUGAACUUUCCCCGAGACUCAUCUGUGCACUACCUUGUAAAAUCCAGGUGCAGCAAAUAACACUACCAGGGAACUUUAGGAAAUAACUCCCUCCCUCAAUAACCGAUCAUUCUCAACAUCUGAUCAGCAUCUUCCACACCCUGCGCUUGAUGCCUGAUCAGCCUGGCCUGCCUUCAGCAGGUAUCUUGUUUAGGUUGAUUCAGCCAUAAAUCCCGCCAAACCUGAUGUCUCCUCUUCCUCUGAGAAAUUUUCCAUCCACACACCCCAUUUCUUGGUCGUAAGUCCCUAUUGUCCCUGGUGUAGUCAGAAUGGAACUCUUCCUUUAAUGAAAUCAUCCCAAAUUAAACUUGUUUUCACAACUUUAACUUCUGCCCAGCUCUGGUUUCCUUUAGCAUACCAUUCACACAAACGUUAAUAAUGGGAGGGAACAUCUAGUGUGCUGAUACCUUUAAAAAAAUCUUUUAUAAAAGGGGGCUAGGAUCAGAAAAUAAAGACAAGUCAUUUAUCAAUUUACAUUUAAAGCUUCUCAGAGAUACAGACCAAUGGAACAGAACAGAGGCAUCGGAGGCAACACAACAUAUCUACUACCAUACAAUCUUUGAUAAACCAGACAAAAACAAGCAAUGGGGAAAGGAUUCCCUGUUUAAUAAAUGGUGUUGGGAAAACUGGCUAGCCAUGUGCAGAAAGCAGAAACUGGACACCUUCCUGACACCUUACACUAAAAUUAACUCCAGAUGGAUUAAAGACUUAAAUAUAAGACCUAAAACCAUAAAAACCCUAGAAGAAAAUCUAGGCAAAACCAUUCAGGACUUAGGAGUAGGCAAGGACUUCAUGACCAAAACACCAAAAGCAUUGGCAACAAAAGCCAAAAUAGACAAAUGGGACCUAAUCAAACUCCACAGCUUCUGCACAGCAAAAGAAACAGUCACUAGAGUGAAUUGGCAACCAACGGAAUGGGAAAAAUUUUUUGCAGUUUACCCAUCUGACAAAGGGCUGAUAGCCAGAAUUUACAAAAACUAAAACAGAUUUACAAGAAAAAAACAAACAAGCUCAUUCAAAAGUGGGCAAAGGAUAUGAACAGACACUUUACAAAAGAAGACAUACAUGAGGCCAACAAACAUAUGAAAAAAUGCUCAUCAUCACUGGUCAUCAGAGAGAUGCAAAUC